CGUCGCCGGAAAAGGAUUCAGGCCGCCGCCGGAGCUCCGGGCUGAGUUUCUGCCACUUGAGACCCUGCCGCCAUCGUGUGCCACCGCCGUUACCGUCACUGGUGUUUUUGCUCGCGAUUGUCACUUGGGGUUACUGACGGAGCCACUGCCGGGUUGAUAAGGAGCUGCGGCUGCUUCAUUUUGUUAUUUCAGAGUUAGAAUCUGGUUUGAUUAUGCC